GUUAGCUCAGUUGGUUAGAGCAUGGUGCUAAUAAUGCCAAGGUUGUGGGUUUGAUCCCCAUAUGGGCCA
rnacentral:tRNA from 1 species